GGGUGGCGCACUUUUUAAGUCCAGCUGAUGGCUGCAAAACAGUCACACCCAUCUGAAGGCACACAUUAAAACACCAUGUUGACAAGGAGGGCAGGAAAAGUGCAUCCACCUCUCCGACAGCUUCACUCUCUCCAGGAAGACACCAUUCCCAUCGCCCUCAGGGGUACAAACUGAAGCCAAAUCCCCAACUGGAGCAACCAUGGGAAACGAGCAGUCCAGUGAUGCGGAUGUUUCCAUGAACGGCAUUGCUGUUGAGAAACAUGAAAACGGAUCGGUGAACGGCUUCUCUGCACACGUGAAGACUAACGGAGUGGAGACUAAUGUUAAGAGCGAUACACAUCAGAAUGGUGAAGCUAAGUCUUUAAAGCCCGUUGUGGAGCCAAGCACUCAUGUGGCCCUCGAGGUUGCCGCCAAACCCGCCGACGCCGAGGCCUCUUCUGAAGCCGGAGACGCGACCGACGGCAAGAAAAGCAAAGGAAAGGAAAAAGCACAGCUGCUUGAUAAACUGUUCAAAAAGAAAGCGGGCCAUGCAGCUGAUGAAGAUCAGAAAAACCAAAAAGAGAUCUUAAAGGAGGAUGGGAUUGCUCCGCAGAAGGAGGCUGCAGACCUGAAGCCGGGACCAGCGACGGGGACUCCGCAUCCACAUUCAGAGGAAGAGAACGCUCCCGCAGCCGCCAGCAGCAUCAGUCCGCCUGCGGAAGAGGAGGCUGAAGAUAAUCCAGUUAUGAACUUCUUCAAAACACUAGUGACCCCAACGAAAACGUCCAAAAAGGAAACAGCAGCUCCUGAUGCUGCCAAGGAUCAGCCCCCGAAGGAGACCCCACCUGCAGCAACCACCACUGUUGCACAAGUAUCGGAACCGCCUGCUGCACCCAAAGGAAUGCCCGCCCCACCUCCACCUCCUCCGGAGCCUCCCAAAACCGAGGCCAAAGGAGAAGCAACCGUCAAACCUGCGAAGGCCAAAGAUGAACCCAAGGCAGGAGCGAAGGAACCGCAGUCCACAAAGGGGAAAUCGGCCACUUUGAGUAAACUGUUUCGCUCAAAGCACACAGAAGACAAACCACAGCCAGUGGUGGAAGUCGAGAAGAAGGCAGACCCUUCAAAAGCAGCCACUCUGGAGGCUGCAGCAAAGCCAGAACCACCACCGCCUGCGAAGGAAGAAAAGAAAAGCUCAAAAACAUCCUUCUUCUCAGCCUUCAAGCCCAAAGUACUGUUAGAUCACAUGACCACUAAAGUCCAAGCAGCCUCCACAAGUGGAGUACAGCUCCUCAGGAAAACUACUGGACUGGCCGCAGAACCCAAGAAGACUGCAGCGAGCCCACCUGCAGCAGCUGAGGCAGCUGUGGCAGCGAAAGCCAAGGAAGAGCCCAAACCUGCAGCCAAGUCUUCAGAAGCAGCUGCAGAAACCAAACCGGCGUCAGCGGUCUCCCAGCCCGCAGACGACGCAGCCAGUGUCCCCAAAAAGCUGGAGAAAAGGAACUCCAUCCAGCUGUUCUUUAAGAAUCUGGGUCAGAAACGUCACUCCACAGACGCCGGGGUCCAGACGGAACCGGCAGCUGCUGCUCCAGCGGAAAAAGCCAAAUGAAGCCUCUGUCUGUACAUACGACCCCCACUCGACUUUUAUCUGUGCAGAAUUGACUCAGUGUUUUUCUCAUUUCUUUAACUUCCUGUUUGAGAAAUUAAAGCGGAGAGGAGGCUAAGCCGAAGGAUGUGUUGAAGGCUACAUUUCAAGAGUUAUAUAUAUAUUUUUGAUCACAAAUAUCUGAACAGGUGUAGGAAUGUGAGCACGAUCCUUCCUGUGUUUAAUAAUACUUAUACGCUAUAGAUACAGCAGUGCUUUGCUUGCAGGAAUUAACACAGAAAACUAAAGAAUUGCUCUUGGGUUUGCAUGUUUGCUGUCCAAACCAGGAAGUGCAUGCAAUUAAAAGCUGUACUUCAACAUCAAGUUAUAAAUACUAAUGAACCGUUUUGUAUUGUCCAAAUGCCUUUUAAGUACAUUUUAAAAACCUGUAACUGGCAAAAAGUGCGUCUUUGUCUUGUGGUUUGCAUACGUGUCAAGAAUUUAAUGAACGCACUUUGUGUCGCUUCAUUUGAAGUCUGGUGUUAGCUCUUUGUGUCAGACUCGUGUACGGUUAACAUGAUCCUCCAUGUGAGCCGGAUUCUGUAACUUCAGGUAUUUCAAAGACAAUAAACAUGCUCUGCAGUCGUUUGUUCUGUGUCAACUGAAAUCCUUAAUGGUUGGGUGUUGCAGCCUCAGUGACUCAGUGCAUGAAAAUAUGUUCUUGUGGCCGCUGACGAUCAAACAAAGACUCUGAAACAUCCACAUCUGUUUUGGCUGAAAGGCAAUUUAUAUGAAAGUUGAGCUGAACAUCUAGAAAUGGACACGAAUGGAAUAAAAAGAUAUAAAAUAUUGACAUCUGAGGAUGUAAAACUUUGGAAUUUCUGAGCCAGUUUGGCAGUAUUUAAGGCUCACCAUUCAGAAAACUUUCUCUUAUGACUUUAGCAGUAAUCUUCCAUUCUCACUGGUGUAGGAGGAAGACAGUGUGAGCAGAUAUCACAAGUACAUGUCCCUACAUGUAACCUUUCUAAUUCAAAAGCUGGUAAUGUAGCAUUUCUGUGCAAUGACGGUCAGAUUUCAUUAGGAUUGCAUCCUUUCUGUUGUUCAUAGUGAAGAAUAUUAUUGUGAGAGAUCUGUCAAUGUCUUUUUUUUUACCAAAUCUAUUGGUCUACUGAGAUUUACCUCUAAAUAUCUAAAAGUUACGAAAAAAAGUUUCUGAUUUCUGAGUUUGAUUUUACAGUGUAUUUUUCUGCUCACCCACACACGACCACCCUUAAAUUUAGAUUCAAAUUGAUAUAAAUAGUUUUAUUAAAAUUGUAUGAUUUCAGUUAAAAUAGAGGGCGAAACUGUUUCUUGUGCCUGAAGAAUAGUUACACCAGGUAGCAGUGGAUGCGGUUCAUUUUUCCCGUACGAAAAUGCAAGAGUUUGGAUUUUUGUUCGUUUUCUUUUUCAGAGAACAGCUGUGUUGACAUAACUCAACAUAAAUAUAAAUAUGGAUUUGGCUUAAAAUGUAUAAAAAAAUGAACAAAUAAACUUUAAAAUUGUGUGAUUUUGUAAAAGUUUUUUUAAAAAAAUGUAUCAUUUUCGUGGCCCCGAAAUGGUUUGAAAGCAGCAAAGCAGAUGAAUGAACAAAGGAAUGAAGUUGGAUGAUUUCAGUUAAAAUAGAUGGCAAAACUGUUUCUUGUACCUAAAGAUCAGUUACACCUGGUAGCAGUGGAUGCAGUUUACUUUUCCCGCACAAAAAUGCAAGAGUUUGGAUUUUAUUUGUUCGCUUUCUUUUUCAGAGAACAGCUGUGUCAACAUAACUCAACAUAAAUUUGGAUUUGGCUUAAAAUUGACACGUGAAUAAAUACAUUUGAAAAAUUGUAGGAUUUUAGUUAAAAAUAGAUGGCAAAACUGUUUCCUGUACCCAAAGAAUAGCUACAUCAGGUAACAGUGGAUGCAGUUUAUUUUUCCCUCACAGAAAUACCACUUUGUUAACAUAAUUCUAUAUAAAUUUGAAUUUUUGCCAAAGUUUCUUGAAUGAAGAAAUGCUCAGGACAAGUCCCUCCCUCCAGGUACAAGAUCUCUAUUAGACAACUAACACAUCUAUUCUAGAUGUCUACUGGUCAUCUCAGACAACGCCGUUUUUCUACUCAAUCAGACGUCUACCGAUAUUCUUCUCUGCCUAUUGAGGUGUCCUACACAUCUACCCAUUUCUGGGGUAGUUUUAUUUGCAAAUGUUUUCAAAAAAUAAUUUUAAUGGACAUCUAAAAAUACCCAGAGAUUAGAUGUAACUGGUGGAUUUGAGAGAGACAUCUUAAUACAAAACCUCAUUGGUAGAGACAUCUAAUGGGAUAACAAAGAUGGAUGUCUACUAAUUAGCUGAUAGUAGGAAGUUGACCUGUGCGGGUUUGCCCCUUUUUCACACACAGACACCACAGGUUCACACAGGUUUUUUGUAUCAUCUGAAAAAGGCUUUACAAACAGAUAGUAAUCCUAGGGUGACAGGAAACUAUAGACUACAUACAAGAUAAAAUACUGGGGUAAUUUAUUUUAGAAAAGGACCAUAUUUAUCAUGAGUUCACAGCUUCCUCAGUACAGAUGGAUUAUUUAUUUCUAAUGUAUUUAUAUGUUUAUGUAUUUAUGCUGAUGAAUGCAUUUUAUUGAAGUUCUUUUUGUACUUGUGCUGACAUUUGCUCUGCAAAUGGAGUUCCU
ensembl:lncRNA